CCUACGGGAGGCAGCAGUGGGGGAUAUUGCACAAUGGGGGGAACCCUGAUGCAGCGACGCCGCGUGGGUGAAGAAGCGCCUCGGCGCGUAAAGCCCUGUCAGCAGGGAAGAAAAUGACGGUACCUGAAGAAGAAGCCCCGGCUAACUACGUGCCAGCAGCCGCGGUAAUACGUAGGGGACAAGCGUUAUCCGGAUUUACUGGGUGUAAAGGGGGCGCAGACGGCGAUGCAAGCCAGGAGUGAAAGCCCGGGGACCAACCCCGGGACUGCUCUUGGAACUGCGUGGCUGGAGUGCAGGAGGGGCAGGCGGAAUUCCUGGUGUAGCGGUGAAAUGCGUAGAUAUCAGGAGGAACACCGGUGGCGAAGGCGGCCUGCUGGACUGCAACUGACGUUGAGGCCCGAAAGCGUGGGGAGCAAACAGGAUUAGAUACCCUAGUAGUC
rnacentral:rRNA from 1 species